rnacentral:rRNA from 1 species
UACAGAGGUCCCAAGCGUUGUUCGGAUUCACUGGGCGUAAAGCGUGCGUAGGCGGUUCGUUAAGUUCGUUGUGAAAGCCCCGGGCUCAACCUGGGAACUGCAAUGGAAACUGGCGGGCUUGAGUGUGGCAGAGGGGGGUGGAAUUCCGCGUGUAGCAGUGAAAUGCGUAGAGAUGCGGAGGAACACCGAUGGCGAAGGCAGCCCCCUGGGCCAACACUGACGCUCAGGCACGAAAGCGUGGGGAGCAAACAGG